AACGAACGCUGGCGGCGUGCUUAAUACAUGCAAGUCGUGCGAGAACGGGUCCUUCGGGACCUUAGUGAAGCGGCGAACGGGUGCGUAACACGUGGGCAACCUGCCUAUCAGUUUGGGAUAAGCUCUCGAAAGGGGGUCUAAUGCCGAAUGAUACCCAGAAGAGACAUCUCUUUUGGUUCAAAGACGGUGAAAGCCGUCACUGAUAGAUGGGCCCGCGCCCC
rnacentral:rRNA from 1 species